rnacentral:rRNA from 1 species
UACGUAGGGGACGAGCGUUGUCCGGAAUUAUUGGGCGUAAAGAGCGUGUAGGCGGCUCUGCAAGUCCUGCGUGAAAUCUCGAGGCUCAACCUCGAGCGGUCGUGGGAAACUGGAGGGCUAGAGUGCGGGAGAGGGAAGUGGAAUUCCAGGUGUAGCGGUGAAAUGCGCAGAUAUCAGGAGGAACACCAAUUGCGAAGGCAGCUCGCUGGGACGUUACUGACGCUGAGACGCGAAAGCGUGGGGAGCAAACAGG